GGUGAGUCGGGUCCUAAGGCGAGGCCGACAGGCGUAGUCGAAUGGAUGAACGGGUUGAUAUUCCCGUACCGGUUCGCAACCGUCCGAUCCGAGGCGUCAGGCCUCAUGGUCGGCUGGCGGCCGCCCGUCCCUUCGGGGGCGGCUGGUCCGCUUGCUUUUCCGUGAUGGCGGGCGUAGUAGGGUAGCAGAGGAGUGACGCAUGGGGGAUGCCGCGCGGCCUGGUGGUUAUGGUCGUGCAAGCAGGUAGGCCGCGGGAUAGGCAAAUCCGUCCCGCUUGAGGCUGAGAUGUGACGCCGCCGGCCCUUCUGGGGUCGGCGUGCGGCUGGUCCUCGUGCCGAGAAAAGCUUCGCUGCGAGGGUGCGGACCGCCCGUACCGCAAACCGACACUGGUGGUCAAGUAGAGUAUACUAAAGCGUUCGAGUGAAUCCUGGUCAAGGAACUCGGCAAAUUGCUCCCGUGCCUUCGGCAUAAGGGAGACCCCGGGGGGUGAAGCCACACGCUGGUGGAGCCUUCUGGGGUGGCACAGGCCAGGGGGUAGCGACUGUUUACCAAAAACACAGGUGCAUGCGAAGACGUAAGUCGCUGUAUAUGCACUGACGCCUGCCCGGUGCCGGAAGGUUAAGAGGAUCCGUCAACGCUUCGGCGCGAAGCGGUGAAUUCAAGCCCCGGUAAACGGCGGUGGUAACUAUAACCAUCCUAAGGUAGCGAAAUUCCUUGUCGGGUAAGUUCCGACCUGCACGAAUGGCGUAACGACUUCCCCGCUGUCUCGACCAGGAGCUCGGCGAAAUUGCAGUACGAGUAAAGAUGCUCGUUAAGCGCAGAAGGACGAAAAGACCCCGGGACCUUUACUAUACCUUGGUAUUGUCGUUCGCUGCUGGUUGUGUAGAAUAGGCGGGAGACCGUGAAGCGUGGACGCUAGUUCGUGCGGAGUCGCCAAGUGAAAUACCGUUCUGCUGGCAGUGGGCGUCUAACCUGGAACAGUCAUCCUGUUCAGGGACAGUGCCUGGCGGGUAGUUUAACUGGGGCGGUUGCCUCCUAAAGAGUAACGGAGGCGCUCAAAGGUUCCCUCAACCCGGUUGGCAAUCGGGUGGUGAGUGUAAUCGCACAAGGGAGCUUGACUGCGAGAGUGACGGCUCGAGCAGGGACGAAAGUCGGAGAUAGUGAUCCGGUGCCGGUGUACGGACGCGGCAUCGCUCAACGGAUAAAAGGUACCCCGGGGAUAACAGGCUGAUCAUUCC
rnacentral:rRNA from 1 species